rnacentral:sRNA from 1 species
AAAAAGUUUAGGGUGUUAUUAGCUUUGGGUAAAGUUUAGGGUGUAAAUUCAAGGUAUUGGAGAGAAUCGAAAAAAUCUCUGUUUGUAGCAGAAUACAACUAUAAAAGGAUGAUGCUUAAAAAAAAA